UAGGGAAUCUUCGGCAAUGGACGAAAGUCUGACCGAGCAACGCCGCGUGAGUGAAGAAGGUUUUCGGAUCGUAAAACUCUGUUGUUAGAGAAGAACAAGGACGUUAGUAACUGAACGUCCCCUGACGGUAUCUAACCAGAAAGCCACGGCUAACUACGUGCCAGCAGCCGCGGUAAUACGUAGGUGGCAAGCGUUGUCCGGAUUUAUUGGGCGUAAAGCGAGCGCAGGCGGUUUCUUAAGUCUGAUGUGAAAGCCCCCGGCUCAACCGGGGAGGGUCAGUGGAAACUGGGAGACUUGAGUGCAGAAGAGGAGAGUGGAAUUCCAUGUGUAGCGGUGAAAUGCGUAGAUAUAUGGAGGAACACCAGUGGCGAAGGCGGCUCUCUAGUCUGUAACUGACGCUGAGGCACGAAAGCGUGGGGAGCAAACAGG
rnacentral:rRNA from 1 species